rnacentral:rRNA from 1 species
UACGGGGGGAGCAAGCGUUGUUCGGAUUUACUGGGCGUAAAGGGCGCGUAGGCGGCCAGCACAAGUCAGUUGUGAAAUCUCCGAGCUUAACUCGGAAAGGUCAACUGAUACUGUGCGGCUAGAGUGCGGAAGGGGCAACUGGAAUUCUUGGUGUAGCGGUGAAAUGCGUAGAUAUCAAGAGGAACACCUGCGGCGAAGGCGGGUUGCUGGGCCGACACUGACGCUGAGGUGCGAAAGCCAGGGGAGCGAACGGG